UACGUAGGGUGCAAGCGUUGUCCGGAAUUAUUGGGCGUAAAGAGCUCGUAGGCGGUUUGUCGCGUCUGCUGUGAAAACUCGGGGCUCAACUCCGAGCUUGCAGUGGGUACGGGCAGACUAGAGUGCGGUAGGGGAGAGCUGGAAUUCCUGGUGUAGCGGUGGAAUGCGCAGAUAUCAGGAGGAACACCGGUGGCGAAGGCGGGUCUCUGGGCCGUAACUGACGCUGAGGAGCGAAAGCAUGGGGAGCGAACAGG
rnacentral:rRNA from 1 species